CCAGCUCGCCUCCCUACCUUUCAUGCCAAUGCACAAGGGCCGUGGAAUGCUGUGAUAGCUUAUGAUGCAUGUGUUCGGCUGUGUCUUCAUGUGUAGGCAAAGCAAUGAAUGGAAGCUCCAAUGUUCUUGGAAACAAAUGUGCACUGUUGCGCAACGCAUUUCGGGGAGUUCAUUUUUUUUCUUUUUCUUGCUGCUGGUAGGCUAUCAUUUUGCAAUUUCUCCUGAUAUCUCAAAAUAUUAGUGCUUCAAGAAUAUAAUAGGGAUCGUAGGAAAAUAAAACUGUGAUUAAAAAGCUGAAAAACUCUUAGGACGUGACAUAAGGCAUGAUAGAUUUAUAAGCGCACUGAUCCAUGAUAAAAAUCUGUUGUGAUACAAUUGGCCAUUGAAGUAAGGCAUGAUAGUUUGUUGACUAUAUAUGCAGAAUUCAAAUAACAGGUUUUCUACUUUAAGUUUUUUAAAAUACCAUCUAAAAAUGCAUUAAUUCCUUGAAUCAAUAACUCAUUGACUAUCUUAUGAAAUGUAUAAGAUGGUCGGGAAAGGAAAUUUACUUCCUAUACUUGCGAAGGGAUCCUAUGUGGGGAGAUGUUUAUCUGAUAGAUGUCAAUCUCUCGGGGUACAUACUAGACUCUUAGGAUACUUCACAAGGUUUUUGGAAAGUGUCCACAGGUAAUUACUUCUCUUUCCUUGUCUUUGUUAAUUGUAUGAUAUCCAUGCCUAAUGACCAAGCAAAUGGCUAUCAUGAAGAAGUAUGCGUCCAUACAAAGUAAAUUCGAUUUGGGCUGAUCGGAAAUUAACACUUUUUGUAUCGUUUUGGAAUGAAAUAUUUUCAACAAAUUUAGAUUUUGUGCUAAAGUUUUUCGGACUCUUCUUCUGUUGAAGAUUAAAGGUCACACACGAUCGUUCUUUCCUUUCUCUUGGGCUUUCGUAUAUUAGUACAUAACUUGCUUCUGUUCGACUAUUACAGAUUUGCUUCUUCCAUUCGACUGGUACAUAACUUUCUUAUAUGCUUUCUUAAUCAAAUUCAGUGCACAAUGGCUGUGGAAUGCUGUGAUUGCUUAUGAUGCAUGUGUUCGGCUGUGCCUUCACGCUUGGGCAAAGCAAUGAAUGGAAGCUCCCAUGUUCUUGGGAAACGAAUGUGCACUAUUGCGAUACACAUUUCAGGGAGUUCAAUUUCUUCUUUUUCUUUUUCUUGCGGCUAGUAUGCUAUCAUUUUGCAAUUUCUCCUAACCUACAAAGAAAAUGCAAAACUUUCUUAUUCCCGCCGGUUGGGGUUGCUCCUCCCAUUGCUACUACACCACCUAUAGAAACUUUCACUCCUCCAUAGUAGGAAUGUAGGAUCAAUCCAGAUGUGCUUAGAUAGGUAUGGGUAGGACUGCAGGACUAUUCCUGACCCUAGAUAAUUCUAUGAAUACCACCAGGUUUAUGACCACAACGUAGAGUAGUGUAAGGAUUUUAGUUUUGAUGUACCUUUUCGGAGUAGUUCAAACACCUUGGAUUUUGUUACCUCUGUUUGAUUGCUUCUUUACAUGAGUUUUUCGGAAUAUUAUAAAAACUCAUUCGGAUGAUAGAUUCUGAACCUUAUUUUAAGGAUAUUCAAAAAGAAGCCAUUCCUAGAGUAUGCUGAGUUUAGUUUCCAAAUUCUCAAAGCCCUUUUGUCCUCUAAAAGUAAAUACACUAUGGAAAUGAUGGGUAUUUGCGUUUUCAAAAACUGUUUUCUGAAAACUUAUUCCGAAGGUAUAUUAGUUAUCCUGACUAUUUUACAGUUGGUUUUUGGGUUUGCAUGGUUUUUAAUCUAUGGAUGUUCUUGUUAUUAUGGCAUUAUUAGACAAUGAAAUAGGCCUAAUGUGGAUCUUGAUUGAUUGAUGAAAAGUUGGUUCCUGUAGUUAACUCAUUUUUGCUUUGAUUCUUGGCUUACUAAGCCCGUUGAAUGCUUAUCCACAAGCGCCUAGAAAGGAACGUAGUCUCAAAAGGUGGCUUACAUUUUGCCACGAUUGGAUGAAAAUGCCCCUGGCUUUGCACACUAGAACGCCGAAUUCACACUUCUUCGGUUUUGGGCGUUUUGGUAGUUUCACGCUUUAUAGUGGGGGGCUGCAACCACUAUUUAGGUUAUUUACAAAUUACUUUAACGGGUUUUCGGAUUUUUGAGGUUUUCUCUCUGUGUCCUCUUUUUUGCACACUAUUUUGUCCUUUAGUGCUGCUGGGUCGGAGGGAUUUUUGGUAAAAUAGUAGGCCCCCUUUGCACCUUAGCCCAAUUUCCGGCGGUUCGGUGGAAAAUUGCUUUUGCUCUCUCUCUCUCUCUCUCUCUCUCAGUAGUACGUGAGGUAGAUCAGAUCACCACAAUUCACACCAUCUCCUCUCUCUCUCUCCCCUAUCUGCAAACGGAUGUCUGAAGAAGACCACACCGUCUAUGGCAAAGAAGACCUCAAUGAAGACGAUGACGACACACACAUGCGUGCUCUGAUUGGUUCGACUGGGUCUUGACGGUGGUCGGAUCGCUGGCCGCCGCCUCUCACGGCACUGCACUGGUGCACUGCCAUCUGGAUACGUGAGAUGUUACACAGUUGAAGAUUUUCGAAGUGCUGCUGAAGAUUUACAUGUUGUGAACCGCAUUCAUAAGAUGCACAGUAUAUCUUAGUUUAAGUUUAAUUUCAUUUGGGUAUUUGUCUGUUUCGUCCAUUUCACUUCAAUUUCAACCCAAUUUUGACUUCAAUCUUUUGUGAUACUCGUGGAUAUGUUCCAAGGCUUUGGUUUGAUUCAGUUUCUGCAAAUUGCUUUUAGGUGGUGUAAAACUGAGACAAUGGCUAGAUCGGUUGUUUGUGUUAUUGUUGAUGAGGUUUGGUUUCCUUCUUUCUUUCCUUUGUUUCAUUCACCCUCUUAAUAGGUUUUUUUUGGAGAGUGAUGAGAAGCGCAAGUCAUUCAGCUGGAGAAGGAGGUUCCGUGAUGAGAAAGAUAUUGACUCAAUCAGUGACCGUCAUGAGCAUUUCAAUAAGACCAAUAUGGUGUCCACCUAUUCAGAAGUCUCUCUCACUCGUCUCGGACUAUCGACGGCCUCAUUCAGAACCCUCUCUGAAGAAUGGAAGUUAUUGUGAGAUCUCACUUUCAUAUUCAAGACGGCAUCCAGAAGGACUGUUGAGUCGUGUUUGCUUGUUGGAGCUCCGGCAAUAAGUAAGGGAAUGCUUCUCACAGUUAUAGAGUUAAUUACUCUUUAUGUUUUGUGUUUUGAUUACUUUUGUAGGUUUUGGGUGAUCUGAACUCCUAAAAAACGUGGAUGAGCUAUACUUUUGUGUGUGGUUUUGCCAGGAUGUUCUCCUAGAAACUGUUUGUAUUAAACCCUGAAACAUGACGUACUCUGUUAAUUUGGACUUUUUUUUUUAUCAGCCUCUGUUUAAUUAUGACUUAGGAGUAAAUGAGGUUCUUUGUUUCUGAUCAGGUUUGUAGUAGCUUACACCCGACAGAAAUCUCUGAAUGGACGCUUUUGACCAGCCCAUAGGAAAAGAAAAAAAAGGUUUGCAAGACCUUAAAAAUUUCCAGUGCUUGAUUCCUAAGGAAAAGAAUCAUAUGCUUGAUUCCUCAUUUAAAGAAAUUGCCAUUUGAAUUUUCUUUUCCCUUUUUUGCCUCAACAAUUCUUUGAUCCAAACAUCAUAUAGCAAUUUGCCAAACCUUUUUCUUCAUGUCCUGCAUCUAACAAAAUUGGACAGCCAGUUUUUGGGCUGUGAGAAAGAAGCAUGACUGUAAAUAGCGGAACUGCUCAAUACUUUGCUCAAAUUUUCCAACAUCAAAACAUGACUCCAUAGGGUAAGCUUUGAAAUUUGCAAGGACUCAACAUGCCAAUAAAAUUAGUGUGACGUUUUGUCAGGUUUUAAUGGUUGAGUACACACCAAUGCGUUGUAGCAUUAUGAGAUUCUCAGACUUUUCUUUGCAUUUUUAGCUAGAUUUACUUUCCCGAUUCUCUAUUUCUUGGUGUUGCAUUUUUAGAAAAUAUGUGGCAACUCUCUUUUAGCAAAUAUGUGAUAACUUUCUUGAUUCUCUAUUUCAUGCGUCAUCUCUCGAGAAUCCUCUUUGUUCAUGCGUUGUUUUUGGGUGUUUUUAGGCUUAGUCAAAUUUAUUCUAGUUUACAUGAGGCUGGACUCUACGAGUUUGCUUGUCUUCAAAACUCAAUUCAGACACGGAUUCGACUGCAUGAUAAGGAGUGCUGCACCUUCUGGUUUUGUCCUAGCUUGCCUCCCUAACUUUUAUGCCAGGUAUUUCUUGUUGAUUGUAAAUUGUUUUGUGUUCAUGACUUCCUAGAUCUUGGUUAUUUUUUCUUUUGACAACUUUCUUAUAUGUUUUCUAAAUCAAAUUCCGUGCACCUGCUGUGAUUGCUUAUGAUGCAUGUGUUCGGCUGUGCCUUCACUCAUUGGCAAAGCAAUGCAUGGAAGCUCCCAUGUUCUUGGAAAAUGAAUGUGCACUAUUACACAAUGGAUUUAGGGGAGUUAUGUUUUUUUCUUUUUCUUGCUGCCAGUAUGCUAUCAUUUUGCAAUUUUUCCUGAUAUAUCAUAAUAUUAGUGUUUCAAGAACCGCAGACAGUAUAAUAGGGAUCAUAGCAAUAACUAAAACAGUAGUUCUUCAUGGAGCAGAACUAUUGUUUGAAUAAGUUUCACGAUUUUAGGACGAGUGAUAUGGCUAAGGUAGUUUGAAGUUAUUUUGAUUCUUUUUGAGAGAAGCAUAUUCUUCAGAACUACUAAUCAUUUACGUGAGUAUUAUGUCCAACCUUUACGUUCAUCUCACACGUAUUCCAGUUUUGAACUUACCAUAUGGGCUAUUACAUAUGUUUUAAACUCUAAUUCCCUUAGAGCAAAUUAGCUGCGGAGGAAAUUUCACUUGAUAUAGAGUUUUGAAUCCAUAAGGUGCUAGUUAUUAUAUCUAAUAUUGUGCAGAAGUCAAUGUUUGUGUACUGUACAAUUCCGAUUUUAGUGUGAUGUAUCGUCAAGUUUUAAUGGCCGAGUACACACCAAUGCGUUGUAGCAUUAUGAGCUUCUCAGACUUUUCUUUGCAUUUUUAGCUAGAUUUACUUUCUAGAUUCUCUAUUUCUUGGUGUUGCAUUUUUAGCAAAUAUGUGGCGAGUCUCUUUUAGCAAAGACGUGACAACUUUCUUGAUUCUCUAUUUCAUGCGUCAUAUCUCUCGAAUCCUCUUUGUUCAUGCAUCGUUUUUGGGUGUUUUUAGGCUUAGUAAAAUUUAUUCUAGUCUACAUGAGGCUGGACUCUAUGAGUUUGCUUGUCUCCAAAACCGAAUUCAGACACGGAUUCGAUUGCAUGAUAAGGUGAGAGAAAGUAGGAGUAACGUAACGCCCCAAUUUUUCUAGGAAUUUCAGAAGCAUUAAUCAAAAAAUACACUGUAUUUAUACAUUUCCAGGCCCCUAAUCUCUCCACAAACAAAUUACAUCACCAAAAUAAAUAAAAGUCGCCAACUAAAUAAUCCUCUAGAUACUCCAAAAUGUUAACUCUUCCCAGACAUCUCCAAAUAUUCCUUAAAUGCUUCGAUUCAAUUUCCACUAAUCCGUCUCCACGCCUGCAAAAAUAAAUUAUCUGGGAAGUAUACGAUACAACAGUAUAACAGUGCUCAUAUUCAAGUGGAAUCAAUAAAACGAUUAUCGACCACCAAGGUGAAGCCAACAAUGACACAGGACCUCAUACCACGUUCAGCUCAGUACAUGAUCAGUGACCCUCCCCAAUACAUUCCUCUCCUAGCCUACCUUGGUUAUCCAGUUAUGGACAAGCUAUUGGUAAGGUCACUCGAUCCCUGUUCUAAACCGUUCUAUAGCACUUGGCCAAUAAUAUCAUAAUCAAUCAACAAUGGCUUAUCUACUUAUUUGGUCCUUACAAAAUAUGCUCGAUUUCAAUUUCGUCCUCACAAAAUUUUUUGUUUCAAUUUACCCUUCUAGUUUCUAACCAAUUUCAAUGCUACCCUUCCCGUCAAACUUGGACAGAAAAUGUCUAAGGGGCUAACGGAUUAGGUGAUGUGGAUUAUGGGACCCUCAAAGUCUCAAACCCACCGAAUAAAAACCUCAAGACUAAGAGCAUCCGUAGUGGAAUAACCAAAAUCAUUAGCAAUGUUCCCUAAAAAAAGUGCUCACAGUGACAUAACUAAACUUAACAACCUCUUAUGCCUUGUUCGGUUGUGGGUUUGAAACAUUUUUGGGUUUGGUUUUUUGGUAAUGAAGAGAGAGAUAGAGAGAGAAAUGAGAUUAAUGAUUGGAUAUAGGGAUAAUGAGUGGAGAGUGAAAAGAAAGUAAUGAUUGGAAAUAUAGGUAAUGAGUGGAUUUGGGUUUGGAAAUUUUUUUCCAAACCCACAUCCAAACAAGGGUUAGCAACUCAUCAAAUUUUGGCCUUUGGAUAAUCAAAACUAGCAACUUUUUGCCAAUAACCAAAACCUUCUCUCUCUCUAUCUCUCUCUCAACAAUGUUUCUAAGAAAAAUCUUUUGAAAAGAAGUUUUUUUUUUUUUACAAAAACAGUUAAACCGUUUUUCAAAUUUUUCAAAAACUGUUAUUUAAAAAAAAAAAACUGUCUUUUUUUCAAAAACUUUUUUGGAAAAGUGUUUUUCAAAAUAAAAGUUUUCAAAAAACUAUUUUCUAUUUCUAAUAACAUGCUUUUCUUAGUUUGAAAACUAUUUAAAAAAAAAUGUUUUAUAUUUUUAUAGGUUGAAAAGGUGAUGUGGUGAUUAUUCAAUGUUAGAUUAUGCCACUGUGGAUAUCUACAUUGCUAACCUUAGCAACCCCUUAAAUGGAUAAUCAAAAGGUGAUGUGGCAAUUUUUAAUUAUCCAAUUUUGAUUAGUCCACUGUGGAUAUGCUCUAAAAACCCUUUUUUUUUCCUUCUUCUUUUACACAUCUUUCCCCACAUGCAAAACUAAAAACCCUAAAUGCGAAUAACAUUUCCCAAUCUUUUCUGCCCCAGAUCUCUUCUCCCCCUAAAUGCACCUCUGUAUCUUCUACCUCAUACUAAAAACCUCGGAUUUAUCAAAAUUGAUUUUUUUCCCCGCAAUAUACACCUCUGUCUUUUUUUAUUCUCUAGUUCUUUUUUUCUUUCUACAUGUACCAACUGAAGCUAUGAAUUUCAUUAUGCUUGAACUUGUCUAUUUAACAAACUGUCCGCAAAACCUACGCGCAUAUAGGAAAUUUAUGUAUUCGAAUUUUGAUCUAAUGAGUAAUCAUCCCAAAGUAUUCGAACUGGUUUAGAGAAAUGUUAGGUAUACUUCCAUUUGAACAAGACACAAACAAACCAAAUAGAAACAUACAAAUUGAGUGUGUGAAGCAGGGCUAAUUAAUUUAGGGACGAAAAGUUAUCAAAUUUUCGUUAACCUAACAAUUUUUCUAGGCAACCAAACGUAACCGGAAAAAGUGAAAAUUGGGCCUAGUUCCUCCACCCCCCCGCCCCCCCCCCCAAAAAAAAAAAGUAAGGCUUUUUUACGACUUUUACCCUCUUUUUUACUUUUUUGAUUCCUCUAGUUGAAAACAAUUUAACAUUCCACAAAAUUUUAACGCAAAAUUCUCAAGUGUGGAAAAUAUUUGAAUAAGGGGAAAAAAAAACCUCCAACUUUUAUUGGAAAACUAGGCUUUAUGGUCACAAGGAAAAUCUAAAAAUCUCCUAACUAUCAUUGCACCUCGUCAAUGAAAUAAAUUUCAAAGAUAAGUAAUCGAAUUCAUUCCUCUCUAAAAAAAAUGGGAAAAAGCCAUAGUAAUUUAAAAUUACUCCCAAUUUUUUUUAACACCGAUCGACCAUAUAAUCCAGUGUAGAAUCAUGCGGAGGUGUUCUUCGGUGGGUUUGGGGGGGAAUGAUUUUGGGGAUUUAGGUUUUAGGGUUUUUAGUGUUACAGGUGGGGACGUGUAAAAGAAAAGAAGGGUUUUUAGUUUUAGGUUUUCAUUCGGUGGGUUUGAGACUUUGAAGGUCCCAUAAUCCACAAUCCACAUCACCUAAUCCGUUAGCCCCUUAGGCAUUUUCCGUUAAGUUUGACGGAAAGGGUAACAUUGAAAUCGGUUAAAAACUAGAAGGGUAAAAUUGAAACCAAAAAUUUUAUGAGGACGAAA